rnacentral:tRNA from 1 species
GCAUUGGUGGUUCGGUGGCAGAAUUGUCGCCUUCCACUCAGGAGACCCAGGUUUGAUACCUGGCCAAUGUA